GAUGAACGCUGGCGGUGUGCCUAAUACAUGCAAGUCGAGCGAACAGACGAGGAGCUUACUCCUCUGACGUUAGCGGCGGACGGGUGAGUAACACGUGGAUAACCUACCUAUAAGACUGGGAUAACUUCGGGAAACCGGAGCUAAUACCGGAUAACAUGUUGAACCGCAUGGUUCAACAGUGAAAGACGGUCUUGCUGUCACUUAUAGAUGGAUCCGCGUCGCAUUAGCUAGUUGGUAAGGUAACGGCUUACCAAGGCAACGAUGCGUAGCCGACCUGAGAGGGUGAUCGGCCACACUGGGACUGAGACACGGUCCAGACUCCUACGGGAGGCAGCAGUAGGGAAUCUUCCGCAAUGGGCGAAAGCCUGACGGAGCAACGCCGCGUGAGUGCAGAAGGUCUUCGGAUCGUAAAACCCUGUUAUUAGGGAAGAACAAAUGUGUAAGUAACUAUGCACGUCUUGACGGUACCUAAUCAGAAAGCCACGGCUAACUACGUG
rnacentral:rRNA from 1 species